GUCAACACACACUCUUUCUCUUUCAACUCUCACUCUCAUCUCUCCUUCUUAUAGAUCUCUCUCUCGCGGACCCUUUUCUUUUUCCCUUCCUGGCGACAUACAACCACCCACACAUACACCAUCAUCACCAUUUGUUGGCAGUGACGACGACCCUCGACCUUGACCAAACACCCAACUCUCCCUUUCUCAUUCCCUACACCGUUGCAGUCACGGUGCAAGCUCUUCCGACAAAGGUUUGAGCACGAAAAUAGCUCAGGGAAGCAGUUUUCAAUUUUCCAGCAAGAGACCAUAAAUUGCAGGCAAUUUUCUAGCUAAUCCCAACCUCGACACAACCUCAUCUUGGUGCAAUUAUCGACGACGGAGUAUCUGUGAGUGGACCCAUUCUAAAAUGACAUAAGAACGAGGCGUACGAUAUGAGCUACAAGGCAUUCUCUUACCAGUGAUAUCAUAUCAUCCUCUCUGCUUUGACAUCUAUUGUAAUAUCACCUCUCUAUUUUAUCUUCUGCUUGUAUUCUGGAUUAGUUGUAUGCUCUGAACAUGUCAUUGUUGGCAAUUGAAUAUUAUUAUAUUAUUUUAGUAGCUUGUAUUUAAUUAUUACAUUGAUA